rnacentral:rRNA from 1 species
AUUGAACGCUGGCGGCAGGCCUAACACAUGCAAGUCGAGCGGAUGAGAGGAGCUUGCUUCUCGAUUCAGCGGCGGACGGGUGAGUAAUGCCUAGGAAUCUGCCUGGUAGUGGGGGACAACGUUUCGAAAGGAACGCUAAUACCGCAUACGUCCUACGGGAGAAAGCAGGGGACCUUCGGGCCUUGCGCUAUCAGAUGAGCCUAGGUCGGAUUAGCUAGUUGGUGAGGUAAUGGCUCACCAAGGCGACGAUCCGUAACUGGUCUGAGAGGAUGAUCAGUCACACUGGAACUGAGACACGGUCCAGACUCCUACGGGAGGCAGCAGUGGGGAAUAUUGGGCAAUGGGCGAAAGCCUGAUCCAGCCAUACCGCGUGUGUGAAGAAGGUCUUCGGAUUGUAAAGCACUUUAAGUUGGGAGGAAGGGUUGUAGAUUAAUACUCUGCAAUUUUGACGUUACCGACAGAAUAAGCACCGGCUAACUCUGUGCCAGCAGCCGCCGUAACAC